UGUCCAAACCUUCCCUUCAACAACGUCAUGACCCCGUAUAAGCGCACGAAAUGAAAAAAUGUUCCGGACACUUUCUACUAUCUACGAAUGAUGCAUGGAAUAUUGAUCACUGUUUUAUAAAGUGCAUGGAAUACAUACAGUGUUAUAGCUUUUUAGUUUUGAAAAAUAUUCAUAAUCCAAAAGGCUAUGGGAAAAACUUUAAAUUCUAUGGGCUCCACGUUAUUAAAGAAGUUUCUAGGUAUUUCUAGGAUAUUCAAACAUUGCACGUAAAAAAAUCUUGAUUUUUAAAAGUUUUUUAUAUUAUAUGUAAAACUGAAGAAUCUGUCCAGCCCUUCCAUAAUAAUGUUAUGAUCCGGAAUUAGCGAUCCAAAUGAAUGAACGGUUCGGACACCGUUUAUCUAUGCUACACCAAAUAUAAUUUAAUUGUCUUGUUAUCAUACUUCAAAUAUACUUAAUCCCUCGGGCUCCACACAAGUAUGAACAUUUCUAGGUAUUUCUGGUAUAUUUAAACGGUAUAUCCAGAGCCUUAUAUGAAGUAGGUAAAAUGAGAGAUUAGGGAUACUCAUAUAUGUUUUUUAUAUUUGUUAUGUGAAUUAAAAAUAUUC
rnacentral:misc_RNA from 1 species